rnacentral:rRNA from 1 species
GACGAACGCUGGCGGCGUGCUUAACACGUGCAAGUCGAACGGAAAGGCCCUGCUUUUGUGGGGUGCUCGAGUGGCGAACGGGUGAGUAACACGUGAGUAACCUGCCCUUGACUUUGGGAUAACUUCAGGAAACUGGGGCUAAUACCGGAUAGGAGCUCCUGCUGCAUGGUGGGGGUUGGAAAGUUUCGGCGGUUGGGGAUGGACUCGCGGCUUAUCAGCUUGUUGGUGUGGUAGUGGCUUACCAAGGCUUUGACGGGUAGCCGGCCUGAGAGGGUGACCGGGCACAUUGGGACUGAGAUACGGCCCAGACUCGUACGGGAGGCAGCAGUGGGGAAUAUUGCACAAUGGGCGGAAGCCUGAUGCAGCGACGCCGCGUGCGGGAUGACGGCCUUCGGGUUGUAAACCGCUUUCGCCUGUGACGAAGCGUGAGUGACGGUAAUGGGUAAAGAAGCACCGGCUAACUACGUG